CGAGGGCUAGACGUUGUAGUGUUUAUUCCACUGGAGGCAGGGAGGGCGCUAGUAUCAGCACAGAUUUGGGAUAACCCAACGGAAACGCCGCGGGAACCCGGUGGCUAGGAGUAGAACUAGGAUCUCAGGCCGCGAUGGCCCCGCCUUUUCAGUCACCUUAACUGGUUCCUCUUCGUUAUUGGGAUUCCUUUGAAUGAGGCUAUGGAGUAUACACUGCCUUUUCUGGACCAGUCUUGCAACUUUUCGACCUGGAUUUGAGCCAACGUUAUUUUGCUCCCUUAAAUAACUACGUUCUCCAGUUAUUUACUGAAAAUGUUCACGUGAGAGAUACGUUGAGUCCUUGCCUUUACUAAAAUGUGGUGAUUGUAAUGACUUCAUUUUCCUAGACCCAGAUAAAAGUCUCACUUUAUUCAUGAAACUUCCUUACAAUCAGCAGUGACCUCUGCCCCAUGUUACGUUUUAACACUUACUAUAUCAUUCAUUAGUCAUUAGCCAUAUACUCUAAUUGUGUAAUCUAAUGAUGUAUAUGCAUUUUAUCUUUCAAACGAAUUAGUCAUAAACUUUUAUGAAUUCUUCAAAGCACUUACUUCAGUGUAUUACACAAAAAUUAUUUGUCUCGUUACAAUAUCUAACCCCAAACAGAUUACCUGCUUAUUUUUGUUGUUAAUCUGUAUACAGAAAGUGUUUAUUAUUGUUACUUUUCAGCUGCAGUUAUUUUAGAGAAAGAGAAAUAUAAAAGAGAAAGGCCACACUCUAGCUGCCAAAAAGUAAUAGGAUUCUGUGCCAGUAAGCACUUAAUAGAAGAUUCUUUAUGACAAUAAAAAUAUACCUUUUUAUGAACAUACAUGAACAUAAACCUUAAAUGCAAAAUACUUAAGAGGAACGAAACAUGUUUCAACCAUAGUUUACUUCAUGGUGUUGUCUUUAUCAGAAUAUAGUUAUCCAAUCAGACAUGCUGAUUAAUUCAAUUACGUAAGUCUAGUGCCAAUUUGAACCUUCGGACAAUGCAAGUAAGUCAGUACUUGAAAAACAAAGUUGUUUUUCCCAUCUUUGCCAUUGUAGGGAUUUCCCUCUCCUUUUAUACAUAGUUACUACUUUAUGUCGGGUGUAUUCUAAGUGCUUUAAAAUAUUAACUGGAGCCUAGUCACGGUGGCUCACACCUGUAAUCCCAGCACUUUGAGAGAUUGAGGUGGGCGGACCACCUGAGGUUGGAAGUUCAAGAUCAGCCUGACCAACAUGGAGAAACCCCAUCUCUUCUAAGAAUACAAAAUUAGCCGGAUGUGGUGGGGCAUGCCUGUAAUUCCAGCUACUAAGGAGGCUGAGGCAGGAGAAUCGCUUGAACCUGGGAGGGGGAGGUUGCUGUGAGCUGAGAUCAUGCCAUUGCACUCCAGCCUGGGAACAGGAACAAAACUCUCCCAGCACUUUGGGAGGUCAAGGUGAGAGGAUUGCUUCAGCUCAGGAGUCUGAGACCAGCCUGGGCAACAUAGGCAGACCCCAUCUCUACAAAAUGUAUACAAAAUUAGCAAUGUGUGGUGCAGGCACAUGUAGCCCCAGCUACUCAGGAGGCAGAGGUGCGAGGAUCACUUGAGCACAGGAGUUCAGAGGCUGAAGUCAGUUAUGAUCAUGCCACUGCACUCCAGUCAGCAACAGAGUGAGAACCUGUCUCAACCCCUCCCUCAAAGAACUUGUUAGUCAUCACUACUAGAGGAAACAAAUUCUAUUAUCCCCAUUUUAAGAUGAGGAUAACAAAGUACAGAGUGGUUAAAUAACUUACCAAAGAUCACACAGAUCACAACUAGGAAGAGGUUUAGCCACGAUUCAGAUGAUUGGACUUCUGGACCCUUGGAUUUAGUCACUGUGCUCUGUAUGUGUGCCCUGCUGAGUCUCUGGUAACUCUUUUGUUGUUGAUACUGAGAGAAGGUCUUACUCUGUUGCCCAGGCUGAAGUACAGUUGAUCCAGCCUUCCAGAUAGCUGGGACUACAGGCAGGUGCAAUCACACCUGGCUAAUUUUUUGUAUGUUUUAUAGAGAUGCAUUUCACCAUGUUGCCCAUGGCUGGGCUAUUGAACUCCUGGGCUCAUACAAUCUGCCUGCCUUGGCCUCUCCAAGUGCUAGGAUUACAGGCAGCAAACACUGUGCCUGGCCCUUUGGUAACUUAACAAUGACUCUGCUACUGGCUGUGUUUCAGGUCUGGGAGAGAUAUUUGUAGUAAAUAAGCCAGACAUUAAUUGCACAGUUGAUCAUACCAUUCUUCUUGAAACACUUCCUCCCAUUUCACUAGCUGUCUCUUCUCCUCAGUCUCCUUCUUGGCCCCUCUUCCCUUCUCAGCCUGUUAUUGCUCAAGAUAAAAACCCUUGGUGUAGCCGGGCAGGGUGGCUCACACCUGUAAUCCCAGCACUUUGGGAGGCUGAGGUGGGUGGAUCAACUGAGGUCAGGAGUUUGAGACUAGCCUGACCAACGUGGUGAAACUAUCUCUACUAAAAAAUAAACAACCCUUAGAGUCUUAUUUACCUUCUCUUUGUUAUCUUAUGUCUUCCCUUUCCUAAACGUAGUCUUUUCCUAGGCACCAGCUAAUGCUUUAUCCUGUUUGGUUUUUCUGCAUAGUAUAUAUUGCUAUGUAAAAUUACAUGUAUUCAUUUGACUUGUUAACUGUAUGUUUCCUCCACUAUCAUGUAAACUUCAUGAUGGAUUUAAAUCUAUCUUAAUUUGGGUUUCAGAUGUUCCUUUUUAAAAUCUUUUCCUGCUUUCUGUAAAACGUACUAAAUACUUUUUAUUUCACCUUUCCCCUCUAAUUUAAAUGUUUUACUCUUUAAUUUUAUUAUUUUAAAUAAAUUAAGACAUACAUGCUUA